CCUACGGGAGGCAGCAGUGAGGAAUAUUGGUCAAUGGACGAGAGUCUGAACCAGCCAAGUAGCGUGAAGGAUGACUGCCCUAUGGGUUGUAAACUUCUUUUAUAUGGGAAUAAAACGUUCCACGUGUGGGAUUUUGUAUGUACCAUAUGAAUAAGGAUCGGCUAACUCCGUGCCAGCAGCCGCGGUAAUACGGAGGAUCCGAGCGUUAUCCGGAUUUAUUGGGUUUAAAGGGAGCGUAGGUGGAUUGUUAAGUCAGUUGUGAAAGUUUGCGGCUCAACCGUAAAAUUGCAGUUGAAACUGGCAGUCUUGAGUACAGUAGAGGUGAGCGGAAUUCGUGGUGUAGCGGUGAAAUGCUUAGAUAUCACGAAGAACUCCGAUUGCGAAGGCAGUUCACUGGACUGCAACUGACACUGAGGCUCGAAAGUGUGGGUAUCAAACAGGAUUAGAUACCCCUUUAGUC
rnacentral:rRNA from 1 species